rnacentral:rRNA from 1 species
AGAGUUUGAUCAUGGCUCAGAGCGAACGCUGGCGGCAGGCCUAACACAUGCAAGUCGAGCGCCGUAGCAAUACGGAGCGGCAGACGGGAGAGUAACACGUGGGAACGUACCCUUCAGUUCGGAACAACCCAGGGAAACUUGGGCUAAUACCGAAUACGCCCUUACGGGGAAAGAUUUAUCGCUGAUGGAUCGGCCCGCGUCUGAUUAGCUAGUUGGUGGGGUAACGGCCCACCAAGGCGACGAUCAGUAGCUGGUCUGAGAGGAUGAUCAGCCUCACUGGGACUGAGACACGGCCCAGACUCCUACGGGAGGCAGCAGUGGGGAAUAUUGGACAAUGGGCGCAAGCCUGAUCCAGCCAUGCCGCGUGGGUGAUGAAGGCCCUAGGGUUGUAAAGCCCUUUCGGCGGGGAAGAUAAUGACGGUACCCGCAGAAGAAGCCCCGGCUAACUUCGUGCCAGCAGCCGCGGUA